rnacentral:tRNA from 1 species
GCGCCCAUAGCUCAGCUGGACAGAGUAACGGACUACGAAUCCGUAGGCCGCAGGUUCGAAUCCUGCUGGGCGCACCA